UCCUACGGGGGGCAGCAGUGGGGAAUUUUGGACAAUGGGCGCAAGCCUGAUCCAGCUAUUCCGCGUGUGGGAUGAAGGCCCUCGGGUUGUAAACCACUUUUGUAGAGAACGAAAAGACACCUUCGAAUAAAGGGUGUUGCUGACGGUACUCUAAGAAUAAGCACCGGCUAACUACGUGCCAGCAGCCGCGGUAAUACGUAGGGUGCGAGCGUUAUCCGGAUUUAUUGGAUUUAAAGGGUGCGUAGGCGGAUUUUUAAGUCAGCGGUAAAAUGUCCGGGCUCAACCCGGGCCGGCCGUUGAAACUG
rnacentral:rRNA from 1 species